rfam:Triticum aestivum genome assembly, contig: Triticum_aestivum_CS42_TGACv1_scaffold_064260_1DL
UGAGGUGUAGCGCAGUCUGGUCAGUGCAUCUGUUUUGGGUACAAAGGGCCAUAGGUUCGAAUCCUGUCACCUUGA